rnacentral:rRNA from 1 species
CCUACGGGAGGCAGCAGUAGGGAAUCUUCCACAAUGGACGAAAGUCUGAUGGAGCAACGCCGCGUGAGUGAAGAAGGGUUUCGGCUCGUAAAGCUCUGUUGGUAGUGAAGAAAGAUAGAGGUAGUAACUGGCCUUUAUUUGACGGUAAUUACUUAGAAAGUCACGGCUAGCUACGUGCCAGCAGCCGCGGUAAUACGUAGGUGGCAAGCGUUGUCCGGAUUUAUUGGGCGUAAAGCGAGUGCAGGCGGUUCAAUAAGUCUGGUGUGAAAGCCCUUGGGCCAACCGGAGGA